AGAAAGUUAAGUCCAUCCGCUGUUAACAGUACUCCAUUAUCACUUUACUUCCACAACGACGAAGAAGAGAAAUCAUGGGUGCUGCAGCUUCAUCCUCCUCUUCUUGUGCAUUUUUUCCCAAGAAAUACGAUGUGUUUCUGAGUUUCAGAGGUGAGGACACUCGUAAAACCUUCACCAGCCAUCUCCACACAGCCCUAUGCCAAAGAGGAAUUCGAACAUACAUCGAUUAUGAGCUCCCAAAAGGCGAUGACAUUUCCCAAGCACUCAUCCGAGCGAUUGAAGACUCAAGCAUAUCUUUGGUGAUCUUCUCUGAAAACUAUGCUUCCUCAAAAUGGUGUUUGAAUGAACUCGUGAAGAUACUUGAGUGUAAAGAGAUCCAAGGACAGCUUGUUAUUCCUAUUUUCUACCAAGUAGACCCAUCUCAUGUUCGCAAUCAAACGGGAACUUAUCAGGAGGCAUUUGCAAAUCAUUCUACGCAAAACCCAUCAGAGAAGGUGAACAAGUGGAAACGUGCUCUUUUUGAAACUGCAAGCUCUGCUGGCUGGGACUCUCGGAUCUGUAGGGACGAAUCACAACUGAUUCGUAAUAUUGUCAAUGACAUUUUGGACAGACUGAACCGCAUGUAUCCAAUAAGUACAUCACAUGGUCUUGUUGGAAUUGAGGAGAAUGUUGAUUGUAUUAAAUCGUUAUUGGAACAUGUCUCAAUAGUUGGAAUUUGGGGCAUGGGCGGUAUAGGUAAAACAACUAUGGCCAAAGUUGUAUUCAGCAAUCUCUCCUCCCAAUUUGAAAGCUGCUGUUUUUUUGAAAAUCUAAGAGAAGAAUCAGAAAAAUAUGGACUAAAGUAUAUACGUGAUAAACUUCUCAAAGAACUAUUGAAGGAAGAAGAGUCCAUGGUUGGGUUCACAUUUGCCAUGAGAAGACUUGGUUGUAAAAAGGUUCUUAUUGUGCUUGAUGAUGUCAAUAGUGCAAAUCAGUUAGAAUAUUUGGCCAAAGAAUGUCAUUCCUUGAGACUUGGCAGCAAGGUCAUCAUAACGACAAGAGAUAAACAUUUGCUUCUUGGAAGAGUUAAUGAAAUAUACGAAGCUAAGCCAUUGAGCUCUGAUAAAUCGGUUAACCUUUUCAACCUCAAAGCCUUUCACAAUGAUAAUUAUGACAGUGGAUAUGAAGAACUAUCCGAGAGAGCUGUUUCUUAUGCCAAAGGUAAUCCUUUAGCUUUGAUCACCUUGGGUUCAUAUCUGCAUUCCAAAACUGCAGAGGAAUGGGAAAGCGCAUUGGCAAAAUUAGAGAAGACUACCCAUGAAGAUAUUCAUGCAGUGUUAAAAUUGAGCUAUGAUGGACUAGACCAUGAAGAAAGAGAAAUGCUUUUAGAAAUUGCUUGCUUUCUAAAAGGUAAAAGUGUAGAUCAAGUCGUAGCUCUUUUAGACAGCUAUGGCUACCAUGCAAGAAUUGGCUUGAGGACCCUUGUAGAUAAGGCUCUCGUACGUAUUCCUUAUUAUUAUGUGGAGAUGCAUGAUUUAAUACAACAAAUGGGUCGGGAAAUUGUUCGUCAAGAGUGUAUUAAAGAUCCUGGAAGACGAAGUCGACUGUGGAAUCCUGAUGAAAUCUAUGAUGUAUUGAAAAAUAAUCGGGUAACUGAUGCAAUUGAAGGCAUAAGUUUUGAUUUGUCUCAAAUUGGAGAUAUGUGCUUACCUUCUCACACCUUUGAAAAGAUGACUCAUUUGAGAUUUCUCAAAUUCUAUUCAUCUAAUCCAGAUAGGAGAGCAUGUGUGAAUGUUCCCUCAAGUCUAGAGUCAUUUUCCAAUGCAUUACGAUAUCUUCACUGGGACAAUUUUCCUUCUGAGGCUCUACCACCAUCUUUUUCUGCAGAGAAGCUCGUUGAACUUAGUUUGAAUGGCAGUCGGCUUAAAAAAUUGUGGGAUGGAAUGCAGGAUUUGGUAAAUCUAAGGGGAUUAGACCUUGGCGGAUCUAAACAAUUGGUAGAGCUGCCUGAUUUCUCCAGGGCACAAAAUCUUGAACGGGUGAAUCUCACUUCAUGUGAAAGUUUAUACCAUCUUCAUCCAUCUAUUUUAUCUCUCAAGAGACUGAAGUCUUUGGCGCUUGAGAAUUGCAUAAACCUGAAGGAUUUACAAGGUGAGAGUCAUUUGAAAUCUCUAGAGAGCCUCAAUGUUGGUAAUUGCUAUUUCAAGGAAUUUUCACUAUCAUCAGAGAGCAUGAGAGUUUUACACUUAGAUAGAACAGGCAUUGAGUUAUUAGGCUCAUCAAUUGGGCAUCUCGGGAAACUUACCAGUCUCUCUCUCAAUUGCUUAAGACUAAAGAAUAUUCCAGUAAGUGAGUUUUAUGGAUUGAGGUCUCUCAAGGAUCUUUCUCUUUAUGAUUGCGGAGAGGUAAUUGAUGAAUCAAAGUUACAUAUCUUGUUUGAUGCUUUGCGAUCCCUGAUAAGUAUUCAUUUGGAUGGGAGUUGCACUUUAACUGAACUCCCCAACAAUAUCAAGCAUCUAUCAAGACUAGAAUUUCUUUCCCUGGAGAAUUGCAAGGGCCUUCUAUCUUUACCCGAGCUCCCACCAUCCAUCAAAGAGUUAGAUUCCACCAACUGCACAUCAUUAAGGACAUUGAUACUCACUUCUAAUACGGAAUUUCCAUUGUUGCCACAGCAAAUAUUAACACCCUAUUCCUCAAUCAGGUAUCUCAGAAAUCUAAGAAGACUUAUUCUUUCAGGUUGCAACGUAGAGAACCAUUCACUUUCACAUAUCAUGGCCUUUUCUAAUUUCUGUUUGAAGCGUGGGGUGCAUACAAAUCAAAUGGUUGAUAUCUGCUACCCAGGGAGAGAAGUUCCAGAUUGUUUGAAGUAUAAGACAAUCGAGGUUUCCAACUUCAUAACCAUCGAGCUUUCUUCAACCAUGAACAACUUGCAAGGCUUCAUUUUCUGCUCUGUUCUUCCGCAAUUACACUCCAAAGGAAAGCUGUUCUUACCGCUUGAAAUGCCAAAUUUAUGAUGAAGAUGGUGAUCAAUGUGGCACAAGUUUGAGUUUUGUUAUAACGAAUGUUAAUUCACAUCAUGUUUUUCUAUGGAACACUCGUGAAAACAUAAUCAAAAAAUAUCCAGACACCAACUGCAAGCCAAAGCUUUCAUUUGAAUUUUAUGUUGUUGCAUAUGAUAGUGAUGAUUUUCUGAAAUACAGUUUUAUGAAGGAAACAAAAUAUGAUGGAUUGAUCAUUGAAGCAUGUGGAGUCUGCCCAAUAUAUGUCCCAGAUUAUCACAACUUCCUUCAACAGAUGGAAUUAGAGUUAAGCAUGAAGGAAGAAAAUGCUUUUGAUGAUAUUGAGGAGCAUUCAUUUCGUGGAAUACUGGAAUAUGCUAGUUUCUCGCUGAAGCGAGGAAAAUGUGAAAAUUCUGAAAGCAGCAUUAUUCCAGAAUGGUUUGCGUGCAAAAGCUUGACAAAGGAGUCUUCUGUCUUUGUUCAGCUUAAUCCUAGUUUAGAUGGCUUAUUGGGUUUCAUUUUCUGCUUUUUUAUUCCUCAGUUCUCCUUGAAAGAGAGGGAUCACAAUCACUCGUCGUGUGGAUACUACGAUGAAAAUAGCAUCUAUCAAGAAGGCCCAAGAGGAUGGCAUUACUCAAUGAUCGAAUUGAAUUCAAAUAAUGUUUUCCUCUGGUAUGACCCCCUCUAUUGUGAACUCAUACUAGAGAAUAUCCAAAGCAUCAUAGUCCCGAGAAAAUAUGGUAACUAUGAAUCGAAGGUCACAUUUGAAUUUAAGUUUGGUAAUUGCUUGAUCAAAGAAUGUGGAGUUCGUCCAAUAUAUGCCUCAGAAUACAGGGAGUUCCUUCAACAAAAGGAAUUGAAGGUGGAGUUAAUUACAGGCAAAAAGAGGCAUCGGAGUACUGAUGAUGAGCAACAGCAACCCUAUCCCACAAAGAAAUGGAAGAUGUCUUCAAUCCUUCAACCUAUUCCCCUGAGUUCUAAGUUUAAGACAUCUCAUGAUUUUGAUGACUUGCUAUUUUCACUCUCUCGAUUGAAUUUGGAAUGCAUGAAGGAUAGCAUUCGUGAGAUGUAAAUUAUCUAUGCUUCUUUUUCGGCUAAUCAUUAUAUGCUCGGAAAAUGUUCAUACCAGUCAUGUUCUAACUCCUAACAUAGUUGUGAAACAUGGUGUUAAUUACAAAUGUAUUUUGCAUGGGCCAAUGUGAGUUUCACAUGGCAAAAUUCCAGAGAAAGCUGCACCAAGAUACUUGUCACCUCCUGAAAUACUAUUUUAAUAUUUCUUAUCCCUUGCCAAAUAUAUACACAAAUAACAAGAACAAGUCGAUGUAUAUCUUCACUAUCUGCUUGAUCAAGUGGGAUUAAGCUUUGACAGCUCAAACAAACAGCAUUGAGAGGUACUAUUUGUUAGCUAUGAAGCAGAGUACUAAAGUGGUGGAGCGAUGACUAAGAGCAGUUUAACUUGUUGGUUUCCCCCCUUGCAUUGCGCUAAUUUAAUAGUAAGUAUUAAAAUUAGGUCUACCAUAACUUUGAGCAGAUUUGCAUUAUUUUUCUACUAUUUGGUCAUGGAAACGAAAUGUAAAGGUUAGCUACCUCUUAUUUUCUUGCACUUGUGCCUCAUAUUGUGAUAGAACCAACGACCUUUGUUAGUCUAUUCUGGGAAAAGACGUAGAAAGCCUUCUUCAGGAGAAGAAUCAGUGUAAUGCCAUGUGACUUCAGUCUAUUAUUAUGUACGUUGUGUUACAGCCAGAAUCAUUGUCUUUGAAGCUUUCUCGGGGGCGACUGUUGGGAUUGUGAUUGGAUGUGUUGUUUUUAUGGUGCUGAAAGGGGGCCUAUCUCUCGUUCUCUAAAACUAAAACCCUAAGUUCCACUUGUCCACUUCAAUAUGAGGCAUCUUAGUUCGUUUCAAAGGUGAAUAAAAUGGUUAACGAGAAACAACCGAAAAAAAUCUACUCUUACAAGAUGGCAUGAGUUUAUGAAAGUAUUCAUGGAGAAGAAUAGAGGACUAUACAAGAAAUUGAUAGACUCAAAUGAUGCAUUAGCUGAAAUUUGAAAUAAGAUGAUUAAUAAGAAGAGGGAGCUUUAUAGCAACAGCCAAAGGAAAACAAAAACGAUGGGAUUGUGUCUGUGCUAUUUUAAGUUGUUUUUUUAUAUGGAAUUUUUUUUUGGUAAAUGGAUGUAGGGCAAAUAUUGUGGUGUAUAUUUGAAAAACAUUUGUUAUAAUGUGAUAGUUAAAUUAUUUUCAACGGUA